GACGAACGCUGGCGGCGUGCUUAACACAUGCAAGUCGAACGGAAAGGCCCUGCUUUUGUGGGGUGCUCGAGUGGCGAACGGGUGAGUAACACGUGAGUAACCUGCCCUUGACUUUGGGAUAACUUCAGGAAACUGGGGCUAAUACCGGAUAGGAGCUCCUGCUGCAUGGUGGGGGUUGGAAAGUUUCGGCGGUUGGGGAUGGACUCGCGGCUUAUCAGCUUGUUGGUGGGGUAGUGGCUUACCAAGGCUUUGACGGGUAGCCGGCCUGGGAGGGUGACCGGCCACAUUGGGACUGGGAUACGGCCCAGACUCCUACGGGAGGCAGCAGUGGGGAAUAUUGCACAAUGGGCGGAAGCCUGAUGCAGCAACGCCGCGUGCGGGAUGACGGCCUUCGGGUUGUAAACCGCUUUCGCCUGUGACGAAGCGUGAGUGACGGUAAUGGGUAAAGAAGCACCGGCUAACUACGU
rnacentral:rRNA from 1 species